UGGUGAGUUUGUGUUCGAAGAAGAGCUGACGUGCAGCACUGUGGACUGGCUGCUGGCACAGAAAUACAGAGCCGAGUCCGCUGCCUCGGUGGAGUUGAUUUCCAGGCUGCAGGGUGGGUUUCUGUUAGUUCCUACCCUCCUACGACACCACUGAUUUCCUGAGCUGGGUCCAUGGUGAGUUUGUGCUCUAAGAAGAGCUGACGUGCAGCACUGUGGACUGGCUGCUGGCACAGAAAUACAGAGCUGAGUCCGCUGCCUCCGUGGAGUUGAUUUCCAGGCUGCAGGAUGACCUGGACUCUGGAUGACCUCAGUGUCCAUGGAGCCUUUAAGAAAUGAGAAAGUAAGUGCAAUGAAAGCCCAGGAGAAAGGCUGAUUUUGCAGCCACAGGAGAAUGUCCUGAGGUUGGAAUCCAACAACUUCACAACAGGGACUUACCUGCUCCCCAGAAGAAAAAAAAACUGCACAGCACAGGAGGCUGAAGCACAUGUCUGGCUCAGGGAGAAAGCAGGGUGGUGACUUUUUCCCUAAGGUGCUCAUCCUCCUUCAGCAACUCCUUGUGACGUGGUGGGUUCACGUGGUCAUUAUAGCCCCUGUGUACAUGAGUGUCUAACAUUUCAUAGGCUGGGAGGGCAGAGAAAGCUGGGGAAACAACUAGUUUGAAUUUGAAACUGCUUUAUUUUUCUUUUUUCCUGAUUCUUCUCUCUCAUCAGUCUUUAAAGAAUAGAAGUCAUUUCACAUCAGCAAUUUAUUUCCUUUUUUAACUUGUCGAUUUGCCUUUUCCCCUUCUCCCAUCCCUCUUAGGCAAUGAAUGAUACACUUUGCUAUAUGUCAAUCAUAGCUUCUAUUGCAUUUACAAAAUCAUAUAGCAGCUACUUUAUGUUUAAAAAAAACAAAUUUUGAGCUCUACAAAUAUUUAUGAUGAAUAUGCAAUACAUCUAGAGAAAUUACAAAAUGAAUGAUCUUGCCUGGAACAAUCAGUUUAGGAAACAGACUUUCACUAAGAAUUUUCAAGUCUCUGUGUUAUUUUUAUAGAUUCUUAUUUUUCUUUCUCUACCUAUCUUGGUAAUCGUAACAUUAUCUUCCCUAUUCUCUCUCUUUGCUUAAAUUUCAGUGACUUUCAUCAAAUUUCAUGAGAAUAUCUUUUGUGAUUUUCAUUAGUGCUGCAUUGAAUGCAUAGAUGAUAGUACAAAAACAGGAAUACUCUUUCCAUUGGUUUAGCUUAUUCAUGAUCAUGGUGUAUAGCUUCACUUGUUUCAGGUUUUUUAAAUGUUUUCCCUAAAAUGUAAUAGUUUUCUGAAUUAAAUAAUCAUUUACCGAAUAGAUUUUUAAUGUAUUUUAUAUGUUGUUAUAAUUUGUAAAUAGUCUCUCUCUGUAUAAAAUAUAUUUUUGACUGUUUCUUGCUAAUAUAUGGAAAUAAAUGGACUUUUUAAGUUUUUGUUAAAUUCAGUCAAUUUAUUAAAUUUGUUGUUAUUAAUAAUGCAAUGCUUCUUUAGAUGCCUUUGGUUCUUUUCAAUUUUCCAUCUGUCUUUAAUCAUUUCUUCGCUCUUUUCCUCAGUCUCACCUUUUUUUCUAGUUCUAUUGGCUAGAUAUUCAGCACAAUCAUGACCAGAAAUAGUGGCGGACUUCAUUUACUUACUUGUCAAUUAUGUUUGACCCAGAGAGCUACAGGUAGUAGAUAUGUGGUAGAUGCUAUGGAAGGUUAAAAAGUGUAAGAUUAGGUCCUGCUAUUAGAGGAGUUAUUGGCAUGCCAGGAUAUUUGCAAAUCAUUCUCCACUGUUACUGGACCAGGUUCUUCCUAACUGACCCACAGCUCAGUUCAGUUCAGUUCAGUCGCUCAGUUGUCCGACUCUG